UACGUAGGGUGCGAGCGUUGUCCGGAAUUAUUGGGCGUAAAGGGCUCGUAGGCGGUUUGUCGCGUCGGGAGUGAAAAUCCAGGGCUUAACUCUGGACUGGCUUCCGAUACGGGCAGACUAGAGGUAUGCAGGGGAGAACGGAAUUCCUGGUGUAGCGGUGAAAUGCGCAGAUAUCAGGAGGAACACCGGUGGCGAAGGCGGUUCUCUGGGCAUUACCUGACGCUGAGGAGCGAAAGCGUGGGGAGCAAACAGG
rnacentral:rRNA from 1 species